rnacentral:rRNA from 1 species
UACAGAGGUCUCAAGCGUUGUUCGGAUUCAUUGGGCGUAAAGGGUGUGUAGGUGGCGCCGUAAGUCGGGUGUGAAAUUUCGGAGCUUAACUCCGAAACUGCAUUCGAUACUGCGGUGCUUGAGGACUGGAGAGGAGACUGGAAUUCAUGGUGUAGCAGUGAAAUGCGUAGAGAUCAUGAGGAAGACCAGUGGCGAAGGCGGAUCUCUGGGCCUGUCCUGACGCUGAGGCGCGAAAAGCUAGGGGGAGCGAACAGGG